rnacentral:rRNA from 1 species
AUUGAACGCUGGCGGCAUGCCUUACACAUGCAAGUCGAACGGUAACAGGUCUUCGGAUGCUGACGAGUGGCGAACGGGUGAGUAAUACAUCGGAACGUGCCCAGACGUGGGGGAUAACGAGGCGAAAGCUUUGCUAAUACCGCAUACGAUCUAAGGAUGAAAGCAGGGGACCGCAAGGCCUUGUGCGUUUGGAGCGGCCGAUGGCAGAUUAGGUAGUUGGUGGGAUAAAAGCUUACCAAGCCGACGAUCUGCAGCUGGUCUGAGAGGACGACCAGCCACACUGGGACUGAGACACGGCCCAGACUCCUACGGGAGGCAGCAGUGGGGAAUUUUGGACAAAGGGCGAAAGCCUGAUCCAGCAAUGCCGCGUGCAGGAUGAAGGCCUUCGGGUUGUAAACUGCUUUUGUACGGAACGAAAAGGCUCUGGCUAAUACCUGGGGCACAUGACGGUACCGUAAGAAUAAGCACCGGCUAACUACGUG